UCCACGCCCUAAACGUUGUCUGUUGGUUUUGGGGGGAAUCGACCCCCUCCGAGACGAAGCUAACGCGUUAAACAGACCGCCUGGGUAGUACGAGCGCAAGCUUAAAACUCAAAGGAAUAGACGGGGGCUCGCACAAGCGGUGGAUCAUGAGGCUUAAUUCGUCGAUAAGCGAAAAACCUUACCAAGACUAGAUAUUAUACUGCACGCUCUAGGAAACUAGAGAAGCCUUCGAG
rnacentral:rRNA from 1 species